ACCUUGUUGUCUAGGACUGACUUCCUGGUUUGCCUAUGGACAUGUUUUGUUGCCAGGUUUGUCUGAUGACCUGGACUUAUAGCUAUUAUUCCUGGGCCUACAUUACUUGGGUACUGGAGGCUUUGGUUUAGACUUGUGAGGCUGUGCCUUGCCAGCCUUGUUAUCAAGUUUGGCUACUGGUUUCCUAUCCCUUAUGGAGCUGCUGGUGCUUGCUGUUCUCUGGCAAGACCUUUUCACGGCAUUGCUGACACAUCAAUAUACUUGUUCCCUGUUUGUCUACUUGAGUCUGAACAACUACCCAAAAAACAUUUAUAAUAAAAAGAAAGAGAGCAGAAAGAAGAAUAUAGGAGAAGUAGGGAGCAAAUACCCAAGAAAGAAAAUGAGCAAGACUUUUGACAGCAAGGUGUUAACUAAAGCUCAAAAUGACUUUGGGGCUUAUUAAAAGGAAAACAUAAUUCACUUGGCCAUGAAACGGUGUGAUGAAGGAGACUUUCAUAAUGACUGGUCACACAGUGAUGAAGUACAUGAAGAACUCUGUGUGCUCAUUGUUCUUUGGAGAUGGUGUGUGAGCAUUCUCAUCAGCGCGGACGAUGACAUCUGAAAAGUGACAAGCGCCACAAACAGCAAAGAUUCCUAGACACUGUAAUAGUCAGCUUUGUGCAUGCAUGGGUGGGCUGUUAAGAGGCUGCUGGACUGUUAGGCAUGGCAAAGAACCUUUGUAUUUCUAAAGAUGUUACAUUGAUAAUAGAUUCCUGAAGAGUACCCAAGUGCAUUUGAAUAGCCUGUUGUUGGAGCUGCUGCCUUCUGCUGCCAAAGCAUGCCCAUCACUUCUUGGUGUUCACCAGACCACAGCAAGAAACUUCCUGGGUAGCACCAAAAUGAGAUAUUUUCCUAGGAUGUAGUCCACUCUUCCUUCUUCUUACAUGGAUUUUAGGCUUCAUAAGACACACCUCAGAGAACCCUACCUCCCCAUCGUGCAACCACAGCUACAAGACUUGGCACUUAGCAGAUCCAGCUCUCACUGGUGAGGAUGCAGCCCAAAACAUGACACCUCUGCUGCAAGUGGAAGCAAGACCACUCACCAGUGCUGAGGGGUUACUUCUCAUCCCAGAGGAGGCCUGGACAUUGGUAGGAACAGCAUGACAGCUACUGACACUUCACAAGGGCACGCAUUGCUUGGCCAUCAGAUGGGAACAGUCUCCAUUCGCUCCUUACCCAGCCUGGAUUUCAGUUAGGACAUCGCACUCCUGCCUUUCCCCUGCAAAGUCAGGGUCAGACAAGGAGCCCUGGGACAUCAGGAGGAGGCAUGGAGACAGGCCAAAGACAAGUCAAGGUGCACACACAGGAGUUGGCAUCAGUGGCCAGGAAGUAAUGGAAGCAGUCUUGGCUGGUGACUGUUUGCCCAGUUCAAAUACCUUUAGAGGCUCUUGCAGAUUCAUGGCAGGCAUUCUUGUUUGAGAAUAUGCGAGUUCUUGUGUUACUUCUACAAAACUUUGCUUUUGUACUGCUGUAUUUCUGGUUUGUCUUCUGUGGCUUCUCUACUCAGGUUUGUUUCAGUUUUCGAAGUUUAUAAAUGAACAGAACAGUGACUUGUAAUCUUUAGAUACCUAGAAGUAUUGGAAGUCUAAGAAUGAGUUAGGCGAUCUAAAUAUUUGAGUACAAUGGUUUUGGAAUUUAAAUAAAAUAAUUGUUUCUUUUUCUGUUUUGAAAACAUAAAUGUAUUUGACGGCAGUUAUUACACUUAAUGAUGCCCUUCAUUUUCCAAG